rnacentral:rRNA from 1 species
UCUUUAUUGGAGAGUUUGAUCCUGGCUCAGGACGAACGCUGGCGGCAUGCCUAAUACAUGCAAGUCGAGCGGACUUGAAGAGAAGCUUGCUUCUCUGAU